rnacentral:lncRNA from 1 species
AUGAUGCUGUUAGAAACAAAUCAUCAAUUGUAAAGGCUCAUGUAUCAGCUGGUGAGGGCAGCCGUGAGCCACAGAGACGCCAGGUUUCCUCACCCGUGGCAUCCCAGCUUGCUAAGAAGAGAAAGAGGUCUGACACGCCAUGCACAUCAGAAUCGGAUGAUGGGUUGGUUCCCGAAAAC